UGAAGGUGUUCACUACUCACCAUUGGAUGGUUCGGAUAUACAAAUUAAAACCUCCGAAGAACAGGAUCCGUGUAAAAACAAAGAAAUCAAAAUCGAAAGCAAGCUCCACAACCAGCUCAAAAAAAAAAAUGGAAAAAAAAAAAAAGAAGAAUCCCUGGCAAUGAAAGGCACUUUCAGAAGAUGCUGUCUCCAAUCAGUUACUUGUAACCCACAUAUUUAAUAUCCAAAACACUAAUUCGUUCUCUUAAAAGUAAUUUCUACAGCAAUUUUAUCGUGGUCAAUCCCAAACAGGCCUUUAUUAUGAUUUCUAUAUCCAUAUCCUCUCUUUUCAA